rnacentral:rRNA from 1 species
UACGUAGGCAGCGAGCGUUGUUCGGAGUUACUGGGCGUAAAGCGUGCGUAGGCGGUUUUGUAAGUUUGGUGUGAAAUCUCCCGGCUCAACUGGGAGGGUGCGCCGAAAACUGCAAGGCUGGAGUAUGGGAGAGGUAGGCGGAAUUCCUGGUGUAGCGGUGAAAUGCGUAGAUAUCAGGAGGAACACCAGUGGUGUAGACGGCUUACUGGACCAUGACUGACGCUGAGGCACGAAAGCGUGGGGAGCAAACAGG